rnacentral:tRNA from 1 species
GGGAAAGUGGCGGAAUUGGCAGACGCGCUGGACUUAGGAUCCAGUGGGCAACCGUGGGGGUUCGAGUCCCCCCUUUCCCA